GGGCGUAGUUCAGAGGUAGAACGUCAGCUUCCCAAGCUGCAGGGCGCUUCGUCCCCCGGCCCGCCA
rnacentral:tRNA from 1 species